rnacentral:rRNA from 1 species
GACGGAGGAUGCAAGCGUUAUCCGGAAUGAUUGGGCGUAAAGCGUCCGCAGGUGGCAGUUCAAGUCUGCUGUCAAAGACCGGGGCUUAACUUCGGAAAGGCAGUGGAAACUGAACAGCUAGAGUAUGGUAGGGGCAGAGGGAAUUCCUGGUGUAGCGGUGAAAUGCGUAGAGAUCAGGAAGAACACCGAUGGCGAAGGCAGGUCACUGGGCCGCAACUGACGCUGAGGAGCGAAAGCAUGGGGAGCGAACAGG